rnacentral:lncRNA from 1 species
CUUCUCCUUUCUGGACCUUCUUGCUUUUGCCCCAUGCUGGCCUCAGGCCAGAGCCCCCACCCCCCUCAUUUCUCAGCUCCUCCUUACUCACCUGGCAAUGAUCUCCCAGAGCCGCAAAGCAUCACGGGCAUAGAGAGCACCUGGGAGUCCCAGCAGGCCCCGGUCAGCCAGGUCGUCAGGAGGACAGAGGGAGCAGUAGGUCAGCUGAGCUGCCGCCCGACGGAGCAACUGUACAUGGCCCCCUCCACCUGUGCUCACUGCCUGGGGGAUGGAUGGGGAGAAUACUUU